rnacentral:piRNA from 1 species
UCUGGAUAUUGCUUAGCUGAUGUGC